rnacentral:snRNA from 1 species
UUUGGGCCAAUUGUUGGCUUCUU